AUCACUGCGUCAGAAACUCCUUCACUGAAUAAAAAUGACUACAAGAUUGUGUAUGUUUUUCUGGUAAGUAGAUGAGCUUGUGCUUGUGAAGAGUUUGAAUAUGAUAAAUGUCCCUUUCUUUUUUGGUCAUGUUUGUUUCCUUGAAGCUGAACUCACAAGUUUUUUGUUUAUUUCGUUUGAGAAAGAUAAACGGUGUAAAAGCUUUGUGUUGCAGUAUAUACAAUGGAGACUUGAAAGCUAUUUGACAGAUGCGGAACAAAAAUAGAAAACAUUAUUGGAAAACUGAAAGGUGUUUGUGAGGAUUGUUUGGUAAGAUGAAGGUUUAUAUAAUAUUAGUUCUUUAUGCUUAAUCUUAACAUAGGAUUUGAUAUUUGUUUCUCCUUUGGUUGUUUUUUAUAAAUUGGUUUUCAAAGUGAAACAAUAGUUUUUUUAGUAUGUUGUUCGACAGAGAGUUGUGCUUGUGCAUGUAGGUGUGUAGAGAUCAAGAUAAUAUGUCAGCGUACAGCCAGGCCAAGAAACAGAGAAUUGAAAAUCUUGAACAGAUUUCUCAGAUCACUGUUAGAAACUCAAACCUUACAAGGGAAUAAACAGAUAGACAUAAAAGGGUAUUCGAAGCCUAUCAUGAACGAAAAUACACAGACAGAAGAUAAAAUGACAGACAUCUUCCGAGAAAGAGCCUGUCGGAGACACUAGUUAAGCAAACAAGAGUGAAAAAUCUUCUUAUGAUAUUCAUAUUGUAUAUAUGUACUGUAAAAUUUGGCUAAAGCGAUUUCAUAGUUUUGCAUGUUUGAGAUGUUGAA